AAGCAGUGUGUUGCAGCCAAGGAUGACUUGCCGGCCAUGUUGGUGGUAAGUGCCAAGCGGUUGGCAAGUCAUUCCUGGCUACAUCUUCGCUUCA
rfam:Daucus carota subsp. sativus cultivar DH1 chromosome 3, whole genome shotgun sequence.